rnacentral:lncRNA from 1 species
CCCAAGUCACUGGUUGAAUCCUGAAUUGAGGAAAAUAUGACUCUCUUAACAGUCCGCGAACAAGAAAUCCAAAUAAGGAAUUUGUUAACCUAGGAGAAGGUGUUAGGCAUUCCCGAGUUCCGUGGUUCUAGCACGGUCGCUCAACUGUCGUAUUUAGCUUAUUUAUCCGAUUUUAAUGCAUAAUGAACCUAUGUGCAAAUUUGAA